GAGACAGAGAUAAAUCGGAGAGCACGACUAUAGCUUUUUUUGAUAGUAAAACACCGUAUACAACUGCCGCAAUAAAAUUAUAACAUUUAAACCAAAGAUCGGACUUAUAUAAACAUUUACUACAUUACCAACAUAGACGAAAAUCCAGUUCGCUUGCGGUUUUAUAAAUCAUGCACAUUUCCAUCAGUAUAAAGUCAAUCAGCUUUAUUAAAGAAAACAAAUACAAAGUUCCAUAUUUAGUCACAAAUGUCCUCUUCAAAAUGUUUUGGUAUCCCACCCCUCUGGAAAUUAGUAAUUAGCCAUAAACUGAACUGAGACACCAUCUAAAAAAAAACGCUACUCUGCUUUGGCUAUGCUGAACAUCCCGCCUCCUAAAUUUUAAUCGGGCAGUCUAACUUGAUUGACACCCACAUGGACCAAUUGUAGAUACUUCUAGCUUUCAAACAAGCCCAAACUCGACAUGAUUGACCACUCAGAGGCUGAGAAAAUCAAACGCGUAAUCAGCACAACCAAACGUUUUAGGCGUGCGUCUUGAGUUGUUUGUCAGUGGGUACAGGCCAAUCAGCACAGCGCUACAGGGCCAUGCAGAGAAACUUUCAGUAAAUGCCAGCUCCGCUCUAGCGGUCUUCCUGCAAAACUUUAUACAGCAGGUUUUUGCAUGUUUGGUAGUUUUUUCUGAUCGCUAGUUUUCUACUGGUUUUCGCUCAGCGUGCGAUUUAUCGGCGUCUUAUAGAGGCGGCGUGCUCCCGAAAAAGCCUGAAUGCGUCACAGCAGUUAUUUCCGAGUGGCUUUCUUUUUAUUUAUUUAUUUAUUCAUUUAUCUAUCUAUCUAUCUAUCUAUCUAUCUAUCUAUCUAUCUAUCUAUCUAUCUAUUUAUUUAUUUAGGAGGAAGACUAUGUGGAUUGAGUUGAGGGGCUCUAUCUACCCCCAAAAGAAGUCAGAGGAGAGGGGUCACUCGUGUGUCUAUCAUUUGAGGCAUUCGGAGAGCAAGUGCUCAUUCACCUGGGGCUCUGGCACUAUUUUUAAUAAACAUUAUAUUUUAUAAGUAUGUUUCAUAAGUAUGUUCAUGCUACUGCCAUUUGUUUUCAUUUUCUGCCAUUUGGAGGGGUUUGGUGUCUUUUUGAGACGUUUGGCGCCUUUUGGAGAGGUUAUUUUGUGCCUUUUUUAAAAAAAGUCUGCAAUUUUUAAAGGCUUUGUGCCAUUUUUAUAAGCUCUGUGCUAUUUAGAGAGGUUUUAUGUCAUUUGGAGACGUUUGGUGCCAUUUGGAGAGGUUUUGUGCCAUUUUGGAGAGGUUUUAACCUGUGUUUGGAUAACCUUACACACAAUUUUAGUGGUUAGAGAUAACUUCCUCGUAUUUUGGGUGUUCAUGGACAAGUACUUGGGGCAUCUUUGAGAUCAGGAAUGGGGUUGAUAUCAACAUUUGCUGUGAAGAUAUAACAUUUGUGGCAAACAGUAUGGAAGAGUGUAAGUGGGAAAUCCUGCACUGAUUUGGUUUCAGCUCUCUGUACAAAUCCAUCACACAUCAGAGACCUGGAUCUGAGUCGGUGUGAACUAGGAGACUCAGGAGUGGAGAAGCUCUGUGAUCUAAUGAAGAAACAAGAGUGUAAACUGGAGAAACUGGAGUUAUAUUACUGCAGAAUAACAGAUAGAUGCUGUGCUACUCUGACUGCAGCUCUGAAGUUAAACUCACAUCUCAAAUAUCUGGAUCUGAGAGGUAAUGAACUGGGAAAUUCAGUCACACAACUCGAGAAGUUACUGAAGUGUUCAGGAGGACAGAUACAAUAUGACCGUAGUACUAGACACAACAGAGAGGAAACCACGUGUACUGUAAUAUAGGAAACAGCAUGUACAGUAUUGUAGGAAGCAGUGUGUACAGUAACACUACCGUUUCUUCACUGGUGGUAAUUGACCUGAUAUAAAGCUAUCUUUGGAAGCUGAGUUCGCUAUACUGCAGAAAGAACAAAGAUACACACAAAAGACAGGAAGCAUUGUGGAUGAUGAUUACACUCAGCAGAAACAAGGCAGCAGUGGGAUAGUCACUGACUCCACAAGCCCAGGAAGUCAGCCUUCAGGCAGUUUAUAUAACAUCACAGAACAGAAUAGGAGGCAAGUCAAUAACACCUGGGGGUAUUCCAGAAAGCAGGUUAUGCGACUGGGUAAGCUUACUCAGAGUUAAUGGAGAACCUCAACUUUCGGUUCUAAAAACAGAGGAAACUUUCAGGGUAUGUACUGUAGCCAUAUCUACUUAUUCUCUGAACAUCACCUGGUCUGAAGAAGGUUAUAUUCCAGGAUGAGUUUGUUUAGAGAGCUGACGGAGCAUAGCGUGCCCCUUUGAAGAAUGUCCUGUGGACGAGGAAGCACGGAUUAUAUGAAAUCUUUGUCACUGUGAGAGGAAAAUAAGACCACGUAUAGAUGUGUUUUCAUAUCUGGAUGAAUAUUUCAGGAGCGUUACCAUCAUUCACAUGAAUCAUUAAUUUAUUUAACAAAUAAACAGGAAAGAGUGGGCAAGUCAAUAACACCAGUAAUACACAGAGGCAACAAAACAGGGGCUACACAAGCACUCCCACCUCCAAAAACAAAUAGUACUAGAUCACACUUUCUAUACAGUACACAACAUACAAAAAGGAGAGAGGAGUGUACAUUGAGAUGUUUAUUUUCCUCCUCACAACAGUAAAAUAUACAGUUAUUGUUAGAGAUUUAACACAUGAAUAUAUCUGCAUGUUAAUGAUUUGUGUAUAUAGUGUAACGCAUUUAAAAGUAAGAAGUGCUGCUUUGUUUACUUCUGCCCUUACAGAAAAAUCACAUGAACUUCAGAUGUGCAAAAACACGUGGUCACAUGUUCAUAAUCACAUUUACUGUGUGUAAACUUGUAAAAAUGACACGUGCAGUAUGUGGAACGUGUGAAACAUGCCCUUUGAACAUGGGAAACGUGUCUUUUUUUGUACAAUACAAAAUAGUCUUUGUACUUACAUUUUUUAUAAAACAUUUUAAAUAACAGCUACACAUUGAGUAAGCAGUAAUUUACCAUGCCAAACAGCACCAUGUUCUUCUGUAAGGUCUAUGCUCAUAUUUCCUGCAAUAAAGACACUAAAACAAA